UAGUAACGGCGAGUGAAGCGGCAACAGCUCAAAUUUGAAAUCUGGCUUCGGCCCGAGUUGUAAUUUGUAGAGGAAGCUUUAGGCGCGGCACCUUCUGAGUCCCCUGGAACGGGGCGCCAUAGAGGGUGAGAGCCCCGUAUAGUUGGAUGCCUAGCCUGUGUAAAGCUCCUUCGACGAGUCGAGUAGUUUGGGAAUGCUGCUCAAAAUGGGAGGUAAAUUUCUUCUAAAGCUAAAUACCGGCCAGAGACCGAUAGCGCACAAGUAGAGUGAUCGAAAGAUGAAAAGCACUUUGAAAAGAGGGUUAAAUAGCACGUGAAAUUGUUGAAAGGGAAGCGCUUGUGACCAGACUUGCGCCGGGCUGAUCAUCCGGUGUUCUCACCGGUGCACUCUGCCCGGCUCAGGCCAGCAUCGGUUCUCGCGGGGGGAUAAAGGCCCAGGGAAUGUAGCUCCUCCGGGAGUGUUAUAGCCCGGGGCGCAAUGCCCUCGCGGGGACCGAGGUUCGCGCUCUGCAAGGAUGCUGGCGUAAUGGUCAUCAGCGACCC
rnacentral:rRNA from 1 species